rnacentral:rRNA from 1 species
AUUGAACGCUGGCGGCAUGCUUUACACAUGCAAGUCGAACGGUAACAGGCCUUCGGGUGCUGACGAGUGGCGAACGGGUGAGUAAUGCAUCGGAACGUACCCAGAGGUGGGGGAUAACGCAGCGAAAGCUGUGCUAAUACCGCAUGUGAUCUGAGGAUGAAAGCGGGGGACCGAGCAGCAAUGUUUGGCCUCGCGCCUUUGGAGCGGCCGAUGUCGGAUUAGCUAGUUGGUGGGGUAAAGGCCUACCAAGGCGACGAUCCGUAGCUGGUCUGAGAGGACGACCAGCCACACUGGGACUGAGACACGGCCCAGACUCCUACGGGAGGCAGCAGUGGGGAAUUUUGGACAAUGGGCGCAAGCCUGAUCCAGCAAUGCCGCGUGCGGGAAGAAGGCCUUCGGGUUGUAAACCGCUUUUGGCAGGAACUAAACGGUGUCCGCUAAUACCGGGCGCUAAUGACGGUACCUGCAGAAUAAGCACCGGCUAACUACGUG